AAGCGUUUUGGAAGUAAAAAAUCGUAACAAGGUUUCCGUAGGUGAACCUGCGGAAGGAUAUUACCGAGUGAGGGCCCUCUGGGUCCACCUCCCACCCGUGUCUAUUGUACCUUGUUGCUUCGGCGGGCCCGCCGUUUCGACGGCCGCCGGGGAGGCCUCGCGCCCCCGGGCCCGCGCCCGCCGAAGACCCCAACAUGAACGCUGUUCUGAAAGUAUGCAGUCUGAGUUUGAUUACCAUAAUCAGUUAAAACUUUCAACAACGGAUCUCUUGGUUCCGGCAUCGAUGAAGAACGCAGCGAAAUGCGAUAAGUAAUGUGAAUUGCAGAAUUCAGUGAAUCAUCGAGUCUUUGAACGCACAUUGCGCCCCCUGGUAUUCCGGGGGGCAUGCCUGUCCGAGCGUCAUUGCUGCCCUCAAGCACGGCUUGUGUGUUGGGCCCCCGUCCCCGGUCUACACCGGGGACGGGCCCGAAAGGCAGCGGCGGCACCGCGUCCGGUCCUCGAGCGUAUGGGGCUUUGUCACCCGCUCUGUAGGCCUGGCCGGCGCCAGCCGACACCCCAACUUUAUUUUCUAAGGUUGACCUCGGAUCAGGUAGGGAUACCCGCUGAACUUAAGCAUAUCAAAACCCGGGAAGAAAAUCCUUUGGGUUU
rnacentral:rRNA from 1 species